GACAGAGGGUGCAAACGUUGUUCGGAAUUACUGGGCGUAAAGCGCGUGUAGGCGGUUAUGCAAGUCGGGUGUGAAAGCCCGGAGCUCAACUCCGGAAGUGCAUUCGAUACUGCGUAGCUAGAGUACUGGAGAGGGUGGUGGAACUCUCGGUGUAGAGGUGAAAUUCGUAGAUAUCGAGAAGAACACCGGUGGCGAAGGCGGCCAUCUGGACAGAUACUGACGCUGAGACGCGAAAGCGUGGGGAGCAAACAGG
rnacentral:rRNA from 1 species